rnacentral:rRNA from 1 species
GUGAGGAAUAUUGGUCAAUGGGCGGGAGCCUGAACCAGCCAAGUCGCGUGAAGGAAGAAGGAUCUAUGGUUCGUAAACUUCUUUUGCAGGGGAAUAAAGUGCAGGACGUGUCCUGUUUUGUAUGUACCCUGAGAAUAAGGAUCGGCUAACUCCGUGCCAGCAGCCGCGGUAAUACGGAGGAUCCGAGCGUUAUCCGGAUUUAUUGGAUUUAAAGGGUGCGUAGGUGGUUUGAUAAGUCAGCGGUGAAAGUUUGCAGCUUAACUGUAAAAAUGCCGUUGAAACUGUCGGACUUGAGUGUAAAUGAGGUAGGCGGAAUGCGUGGUGUAGCGGUGAAAUGCAUAGAUAUCACGCAGAACUCCGAUUGCGAAGGCAGCUUACUAAGCUACAACUGACACUGAAGCACGAAAGCGUGGGGAUCAAACAGGAUUAGAUACCCGGGUAGUCC